GGGCGGUGCUGUGGCGCCGUGCGGGAGCAGGAGCGGGGCUCGGUGCGCUCGCGCCGUUCCUCGGCCCUCAUGGCUCCUGCCCGCAGGAAGGCGGCCGCGGGCGCGCGCGGCAGGAAGCUGAGCGCCUUCCUGAAGGACUUCGACCGGGAGGUGAGGAGCCGGGUCGAGCAGCUGCGGACGAACGGGGAGCGCCUGGUCAAGGAGAUGGAGAACCUGUACGACGUGGAGCUCCUCCGGCUGCCCGCGGCGCUCCGCGAGAUGAACUGGCUGGAGUUCUUCGCUAAAGGGGGAAGCCAGAAAGUCGUGGAGGAGGCGGUGACGGAGAGGAGCGCUGCUGCGAUAGCGCGGGUUACGCACGCAGCUGCUGCGUUAAGACUUAGCAGGAGGAGAUCCUGUGGUGUCCCCCGCAGGGCUUGCGUGCUCGCGCUGCUCCUUGCCUGGCUUGCCAGGCCUGUUUGGAGGCACAUGCCUGCCAGCAUGGACGGAGCCUGGGUGGGGACCUGGAGACCUCAUCGCCCACGCGGCCUCAUCUCGGCCCAGUUCCCCAGCCCCGGGCCCCAGUACUCCAUCCCGGGGACAACAGGUUAUGUGGGCCACAGCCCCACCAAAGCCCGUGCCCCCGCCUACACGUUUAGAGGGACCAAACCGCCUGCGGCAGGGAGCUGCGGGCCAGGUCCCUGCUACUUUGUGGAGCCCGCCAUCACCAGGAACGGGAAGUACGUGGCUCCGGGCGCCCAGCUCCGGGGACGACCCGCGACGAAGACCACCGUCACUCCCGGACCAAGUGAGGAGCCUGCUGAGCCAAGCGUUUUGUAUGGGAGCAUUUGCUCAGUGCGGACUCGGCUGUCACGGGAGAAGGAAAUGACUGACUUGGCAGCUAAUGUGUUUCAGGUGAGGACGUCCACUAAGAAAGCACCAGUGUCCAGGAGCAGAAGAGCUCCUUCAGCAAGAGUGAAACGCGUGAGUAAAAGAUCAAGCAAAAGCAGCUUUAUCACUCCAGCUACCGGCAGAAAUCUUGAUCUCUGUGCUCGAGGAGGCGCCUCCAUCGUCACGCCCAGGUUUGAUUCGAGAGUUUUCAAGACGCCGGGUUUGCGCACACCCGCAGUAAAUGAACGUGUUUACACCAUCUCUGCUAACGGCAGCCCCCUUGCUGAUGGCAAUGAUGUCUUCAUUACCGUUCCUGUUGGAGGAGGGGAGAGCAUUCGUUUAACAGCAAGUGAUCUGACCAAGAAGAAUCUUCUUCAUCUCAAUCGGAGGCACGAGGCAUUAUGAAGAAGCUAUCUGUUCGUCUUGCACAAGCUUGUAGCAGUGCAAAAACCCAUAGGUGAAGGGCAGUGAAUGUCAACACCUUUUGUAAACGUGGAACUACUCCUAUAAGCUACGAGUACAUUUUAUUUGGUGUCUUACAAUUCUGUGAGCAUUCAUUUAAACGAAAUGAAAUUAAAAAAAAUAAAAAAAUAAAGAAAACCA